rnacentral:rRNA from 1 species
AUUGAACGCUGGCGGCAGGCCUAACACAUGCAAGUCGAACGAGUGGCGGACGGGUGAGUAGUGUCUGGGAAACUGCCCGAUGGAGGGGGAUAAAUACUGAAAACGGUAGCUAAUACCGCAUACCAUCGGAUGUGCCCAGAGGGGAUUAGCUAGUAGGUGGGGUAAAGGCGCACCUAGGCGACGCUCCCUAGCUGGUCUGAGAGGAUGACCAGCCACACUGGAACAGAGACACGGUCCAGACUCCUACGGGAGGCAGCAGUGGGGAAUAUUGCACAAUGGGCGCAAGCCUGAUGCAGCCAUGCCGCGUGUAUGAAGAAGGCCUUCGGGUUGUAAAGUACUUUCAGCGGGGAGGCGUUACCCGCAGAAGAAGCACCGGCUAACUCCGUGCCAGCAGCCGCGGUAAUUC